GUUAAAAUAAUUUAAUUAAAAAUAUUGGUUUUGUAAACCAAAAUUGGUAAUCCUUUUAGCA
rnacentral:tRNA from 1 species